AACAAAUGAAAAGUCUUAUCUUAAAGGGACAGUGCACGGUAAUCACAGUGGUUUGAGUGUAUGACAGUGGAAAAAAUAUUGUGGGACGACAAUUCAAAGAGAGAAAAAUAAGUUACAUGAAACAUCAAGAGAUUUAAAACGAACGACGUGAAGGGAUCAUAAGAAUUAUUGGGUGUCGUUGUAGGAGUAAAUGUUUGGGUUAAGGGGAUUUCCCUGUUCCCAGAGACAAGGCAUUUUUAGGGCGAGCACUCGCUAAUGCUGGUCUGAGUUGUAAUUAGACAAGUGAAUAACGUAUUGGGAAUAGAGUUGUAAUUAAAAUACUAAGUCAAAGACGAGACAGGUAUUUAGAGCAAAAUGGAUUCUAAAUGAUAACAAAGAGACAAUUAUGAUUUAUGCCCAUCAAAAAGCUUUUAUAAAAUUGGCGAAUUUAGAGAUGUUGGUUGGGGGGGUAAAUUAUAAUUCAGGAUUUGAACAGAUGUGAAAAAUUAGGUUUGGUUAAUCGAACAAGAAUUAUUUACAAUUCAUUUGAAGUCGCUACGAAUUGGCAGAUUGAGCGCUUGAUGAUGACGUCACUAGCGCGACACUUUUGUCACCAGAAGACUGGGAAUAACGGAGCAAACUGUAUGGCUAUUAGAGUGUGUAUCGAGGCUUCGAGUAAACCUUUCAGAAGUUGAGAUAAAAGUGUUUUGUUUAUUUGUUUAUUGGUUAUAGUCAAUUUUUGGGUUUGAUUUAACUUAGUUGAACAGUGUGUUCUGGCGGGUUUAGGUAGAACUCUUUGUUCCGGAACGGAUGAAAGUUACCCAUAAUUUUAUGCCCAGCAGGAGAACUACAGAGGGAGGUGGCACACGAGAUUCAACCAGGAGACUGGAUCUGGAUCCAAUCACUAAAAAGAAAAAAAACUGGAAGCAGCCUCGGUGGGAGGGACCAUUCCAAGUACUACUGGUGACUGCCUUCGCUGUGAGAUUAGCCGAAAGAGCUACCUGGGUACAUAUCACACAUUGUAGGGGGGUAAGUCACACUAGCACUGUCGGACGAUCACAGGAGUAGGAGAGGAACCGUGACCCAUAUGGAACGGGGGUCAAACUCCUUCUGAAGAUUCCCUAUACCCGACCUUUCCCCAGCUGUGAGCGUUAAUAGAAGUGAAGUGAUGGCUUGGCCUCUGGCUGUUGAUAUGUUCUCGGGGAGAGGGUGGGGCUUCACGUGCGCACUGACCGUCCUGAGCUGUUUUAUUGUGGGGGCCAUAUUCCUGAUUCACCAUGAUCCCCCGGAAAGUGCCAAAGAGGAUAAUUUGACUCAUGUGCUAGAUGAGGGAAAUGGGAUGUUACCUAAGAUUCUCAGAAGGUCACUGAAACAAAAUAGUAAGGAAGUGAGGGUGGAAUUGGGCAAGGAUCUCUCAGUAGAAUUUUGUGUAGAUCAAUUGGGGUCAUUCACCCCUUGGCAGUCUAGAACCAUGGGACUCUAUGGGAAGUAUUUGUGUAAAUCACCAUAUUGAUCGUGGACAGGUCAUAGCUCACACUGAAAGGGAUGGCUACGUAAACCCAUACACUCAAUUUGGGACCAGGUGGAGUAUAGUAAGGGUUGGCGUUUUGGACUGUGUUCCUGAACAGAGGAAGUAUUGUAUAAAGGUACGAAUAGUUCAGACCAAAGACCUCAAAGAAGUUAUAGAAGUGGAGACUGGGUUUGGGGAGUCCAACUUAUGGUUGGAAUGGAUUCAAUACGGCCAGAUCAGUGGCUAAAGAAGAAUGUUAUGUCUGUGCGAACGCUAAACCCCAGUUAACAACUAUCCCUUUUCCACUGAACGGAAUUAAUUCCCCUAAGGGAAUGGCAUGUAUGUUAAAGCUGUUCAUGAAAGCAGGAAUGCCAGAUAAUGACAGUUGUCACUAUUUAUAUCCCCAGGAACCAAGUUGGUACAGAGAAAAUGACCACUGACGAGACCAUGUCUGAAUUGACAGGCUGGUUGAACUCUGGGGAUUUCAAUGAAAUAAAAUGGGCCAGUGUCGCCAUCUGGUGGUUGUGCGGGGGAAUGAGUUUGACUGAUUGGAUGGGUUAGGAAUGCCUUUUACACUCAUACAACACCAAGACAUGAAGUUAGCCAAAACGAGAGAGAAGAGAUGCUCCAUCUGGGUCUUUUGACGACAGAGUAUAUAUUGAUAACAUUGGGGUUCCACGAGGUGUGUAAUUAUAGUUAUGGUAAUCAACAGCGCUUUAGCAGGAAUACCAAAGGUGUUAUUAAAGGUUUUGUAGAACAGACUGAAGCAACCAGCUGGAAGACCUGACAGAAUAGAAUUGCAUAGGAUAAAAGGAGGAAGUGGGCGUGGUAAUCAGGACCAUGUCUUACAUCCCGGGUAGCACAGCUCCGGACGAAUCAGUGCCCGAAGCCUCAGCUGGUUUGACCACCCUGGCUCACGGGUUGGCAGAAACUCUGGGGUGGAUACUUCUCUGAACUAAAUUGGGUAGACAGUAUUUAUGGAAAAAUGUGGUGUUUUGGGCUGUAUCUACCUGUAUGACUGUUUUAAUUUUAUGCGGCUGUUGUCUAAUUCCCUGUGUGCGAGGCCUUGUUUCCAGGACUCUGGAAAGAUCAAUGACCCUACAGAUGGUGCGUUAUGGGCCGAUUCCAGAUUCUGACCUGUGGAGGACUGAAGGCAUGUCUACAGAGGAAGUGGACGAAUCCGGAUCUGUCAUUUGUGGGGAAUUUAUGUUUGAUGAGAAUAGUGUUGAGAUGAAGGGGAAUUAGAUUGUAAUUUGUUUCAAUGAUUAAACUGUUUUUUGAUAAAGAUUGUAAAAAGAAAGAAUCCUGAAAGAGGAGUUAUGAUUCUGAUGCAGAUUUAAAAACAGUUGGAGUUAAGGUUAGAUUUGAUUGAAGAUGGGUGAAGAGUCGGGUAAACAUUUAUAAUAAUAUUUUUAUUUUGUAGAUUUGAAUGUAUAAUAUUUGAUCAAAGGGAGGAUUGAUAGAGGAAAAUAUGUUUGAAAUGACUAAUUAUGUAUACAUUCCAAUCAGAAACUGACUAGUCCAAAUGCUAUAAUGUACUGUCCCUCUUGCUCCCUUUCACAAUUGUAUAUAAUGUAGUCAGGAAGUUUAGUAACAAUGAAGGUCUGUUCUUUAAGUUCAUUCAGUUGUACAAAUCUCCAGGUGGUGGGAACGGGCCAUCUCCAAAAUGGUCGGGAAUGUUGAUUUAUGCUGACUGGCCUUGACUUCGUGCUGAUAACGCGGAGGCUUGAGAAUUAGAGGGGCCCUCUGUUUGUGAAACGGAACGUUUGGAAAACGCUGACGUCAUUUUCAGUUUAUAACCUGUGGUAAUGUGUGUAAGCAUUUAGUACUCUCUGGAAUUAAACGCUCUUUACCUGGCUUUUAA